rnacentral:tRNA from 1 species
GCCUGGGUAGCUCAGUCGGUUGAGCGGCCGACUUCAGCUCAGGUCAUGAUCUCGCGGCUCGUGAGUUCGAGCCCCACGUCAGGCU